GAAGAAAUUUGUUUGUUACUUCUGUCGACGCGGUGGCUAUUGGAAUGAAGCGGCGCGAGAUGCAUAAUUUUGAAUUUGAUCUUCUUCAAAGAUUGAUGAGUUUCAAAACGCACGAAUUUAACUCAUGAACAUUCAAAUAGCAUUCGUGUCAAAAGAAGAAGAAGAAAAAACAUAGAGCGGUGUGAAAUUGCCUGAAAUUGCCUAUUCUUCGCUUGGAUUAGAUUACUAAAAGAUGGGAUUUUGGAGGUAGAUUAUGUAUAAAGUUUGAACAUGUAUGGGCAUGAGUAACGACUCACGCUCAAUAUUCAAAAUUCGGAUUUGGCUCCUUGCAUUUUUUUAUGGUCAUGUUACCUUUGUAAUCACUUCUUAAGACUAUUCCUUCACUUCUUAAGAGUGAAUGGGUGAGUGUAACGACUCAUGCUCAAGAUUCAAAUGGAUUUGACACUAA